CACAAUAUUACAUGUUGAAUACGUAAAACGUGUGCCUCAAUUACAUUAGGUACGGCUAGUAAACAACGAAUAAGUGGAAAUCCAUCCAAGAAUGGCUGAAAAAAGGAGCUACUUGGCAUAUGGGAUCCUGGCUUCAGCUACUGAGUGCGAUCAGCGGCGCGCGUUGCGCGCAUUGGCAGAGAAUCUACACGGCAGCAGCCAGGCGGAGGGAUCUGCAGGGCUGGGCAGUGACGACGAGGGAGAAAUUGUAAAAAAGUUCAAUAAAUAAUUGUAAAACUCCA